GUCCUUUGGAUCUCUCCGAUGAUCUUCCUCGACUUCUGGGUGCUUUGGAAUGUUUGGGUGGUAACCCUGGCUCUUCAGGGGCUUUAGUCCUCAAUCCCUCAAUGUCGUCCUGACUCUCCGAAGAUCCGCUGGUUGCGAUGGCUACAUCUAAAGAAGUCCUGUGAGUUGGACGAAUGUGUCAGAGGAGCACUUCAGAUUUUAUGG
rnacentral:lncRNA from 1 species